UACGUAGGGACCGAGCGUUGUCCGGAUUCAUUGGGCGUAAAGAGCUCGUAGGCGGCUGUUCAAGUCGAACGUGAAAACUCGGAGCUCAACUCCGAGCCUGCGUUCGAUACUGGACGGCUAGAGUCUGGUAGGGGGAUCUGGAAUUCCUGGUGUAGCGGUGGAAUGCGCAGAUAUCGAGAGGAACACCAGUGGCGAAGGCGAGUCCCUGGACAACACCUGACACUGAGGCACGAAAGCCGGGGGAGCAAACAGG
rnacentral:rRNA from 1 species